rnacentral:rRNA from 1 species
UACGUAGGGGGCAAGCGUUGUCCGGAUUUAUUGGGCGUAAAGAGCGUGUAGGCGGCCAGGUAGGUCAGCUGUGAAAACUCGAGGCUCAACCUCGAGACGCCGGUUGAAACCAUCUGGCUAGAGUCCGGAAGAGGAGAGUGGAAUUCCUGGUGUAGCGGUGAAAUGCGCAGAUAUCAGGAAGAACACCCGUGGCUAAGGCGGCUCUCUAGUACGGUACUGACGCUGAGGCGCGAAAGCGUGGGGAGCGAACAGG